AACCGUCAUAUCCGGCGGGCCCAAUCUUAAAAAGUACAGCACCAGCAUCACGGAGCUUCACAGGCCAUCAUUGGCCAGGUUGAGACUGAUUAUAGCGGAUUGAGCCCACACCGAGGUGUUGACAUUUUGACAAUCGCAGGCGGCCGGUCGCUGACGAAGGAAAUGGAACCCAAUGAAGGGAUCCUGAAAGUCCAUGGUACACACAUGUCAGCAACAUUUCUUUGGAAAAAUCACAUAAAAAGGGUCCCAAGAUGUAGUCCACCGAGACAGUAGAAUUGUUCUUAUCUGAUAGACCUUGUCAUCAGCAAAAAAAGGUGUUUUGUGAAUGGAAGCAGUGGGUUGAAGUUUAUCUGGAGCAGGGCAUUGUGGCACACCGUGCACUGUCCUAUUCAUCAUUUCAGAGGGUGCCAUCUUGAUGUCUGCAUUCACCCACACCGCCUACUUUGUCUUAGAUCUCCA